UAUAUAUGGCACACGUGAAUAUAAAAUUGGAACGAUACAAAGAAGAUUAACAUGGCCCCGGUGCAAGGAACAACGUACAAUAGAAAUUGACAAAUAGUUU